UACGUAGGGAGCAAGCGUUGUCCGGAAUCAUUGGGCGUAAAGCGCGCGUAGGUGGCUUCGUAAGUCCGUUGUGAAAGUCAAAGGCUCAACCUUUGAAAGCCGAUGGAUACUGUGAAGCUAGAGUACGGAAGAGGCGAGUGGAAUUCCUGGUGUAGCGGUGGAAUGCGCAGAUAUCAGGAGGAACACCAAUAGCAAAGGCAGCUCGCUGGGACGUUACUGACACUGAGGCGCGAAAGCGUGGGGAGCGAACAGG
rnacentral:rRNA from 1 species